GACGGUCAUCGCUGAUCUCUCCCAUGCGUUUAUGUGUUAAUUUGUUCAUAACUUCAGCAAAUAUGGCUGCUUGCUGCUGGCCGAACACAAGGACAAAGAGUUGAUUAGAAAGUCUUGUUUUAUUUGGACUAACAAGUCAACCUAGCUAGAAAUGGUUUUUCCAAUCAUUGGAACUCAAAUUUGUUCCCGCCUUCCAUCACCCAAUUCGGAGAAGCACCAACUUCAUAGCAGGGUUCUUCUUUGAUCUGUAAAUACCCUUUCUUAUGCAAUUACUUAAGGCUCUUGAGUUCGGUUUUCUCUACAAGCUUCAGAGAGUUGUUGGGGAGAGAUUGUAUGUGAGAUUAAGGGUGUAUUUUAGCUAAGGAUCUGGGAGUUCUUCACCGUUGUACCCACAAUGACAAUGUGAUAGUAAAGCUGUACUCCUUCCUAGGGUCCUUGGCUAAAAACCGAACCUCAUUAGAGCUGAUGCUUGCCAUGCACGAUCCUCAUUCCAGCAUUAUUUUUUAUCCCAGAAUCCCCAAGGUGGCUGGCAAAAAUGGGGACGAUGGAAGAUUUUGAAGCUUCCUUGCAAGUUUUGAGGGGAUUCGAUACUGACAUUACUGCUGAAGUCAAUGAAAUCAAGGUGCAAACAUCAACUAAAUCUGUAACCGA